GAAAGAGAGAGAUAAUUUUGGGGCAAACUUUUCUGAGUUUUAUUUAUGCUUAUCAAAAACGGGAAAACAACCUACUACUUAUCUAAACUUCAUGCUAGAAAUAAGGAAACAACUACCCACGUGACUACUAAGCUACAAAGAGGGAAAAUGGCCUACAUGGCCUUUGAUUACUUCAACCUGACUUACAUAAAAGUAAAUAAAAAUAAUAGAUACUCAAAAUUACUUAAUUGCCCCCCAUGUCUUCUGGAUUAACCCAACAGACUCCCCUUUAAUCCAGAACUCUUCGUGUCCUUCACCCCAAGGAGUCUUCGCAUCUCUAUAAAAUUGACUUUGGCUAAAGACUUUGUGAAUAUGUCGGCUUUUUGUUCUUUGCUGCAUACGAACUUGACGACCACCUCUCCCCUUUCUACACACUCCCUGAUAAAGUGGUAUCUUGUAUCUAUGUGUUUGCUCCGUCCGUGAAAAACCGGGUUUCGAACUAAGUCAAUCGCUGACCUGUUAUCGAGGUAGAGGGUCACCGGUUUUAUUUUCUCACCAGUUAUUCCUUUUAUUAGCCGACGGAUCCAUAUCCCUUGACACGUUGCUGACGUAGCAGCCAUGAAUUCUGCCUCACAUGAUGAGAGAGCCACACAUCUUUGUUUCUGUGAGGCCCAUGCUACUAAGCUUGCAUUUAGAUAAAAUGCCAUGCCACCUGUACUCCUUCUAUCAUUCAAAUCUCGUGCAUGGUUGCUAUCUGAAUACCCAAUGAUUUCAGUUUCAUCUUUUCCUCUUUCAUAAAUCAGACCAAAAUCGAUGGUCCCUUUGAUGUACCUCAAUAUCCUCUUGACUACCCGUUGAUGUUGUACAUUGGGUCUUUCCAUGAACCGACUCGCCAUGCCCACUGCGUAGGAUAUGUCAGGCCUGGUGUGUGUAAGGUAUCGGAGUCCACCAAUAAUGCUUCUAUACUCCGUUGGGUUUACCGGUGUGCCUUCUUCAUCCUUGGUAAGCUCCAACUUCGGUUCCAUGGGAUAUAGAGAAGGAUUGCAUUCUGUCAUUCCAGCUUUUGUGAGGAUACUUCUGGCAUACGCUGUUUGCUUUAUACUUAUGCCAUCUUGAUGUUGAGCUACUUCUAUUCCCAAGUAAUAUGAGAGAGUACCAAGAUCACUCAUCUCAAAUUCAUCAUUCAUUUGUUGCUUGAAUUUAGACACCUCCACUUUACAAUUACCUGUCACAAUCAAAUCGUCCACAUAAACUCCAACGAUUAAGAGCUUACCAUUCUUGCUUCUUGUAUACACCGCAUACUCUUGAGGGCAUCUUUGAAAACCCAUAGCUUUCAGACUUUUGUCGAGACAUGAGUUCCAGGCUCUAGGUGCUUGGCGAAGGCCAUAGAGAGCCUUGGAUAAUUUCAACACCUUUUCAGGUUCCUUUGGGUUUACGAAUCCUUUGGGUUGUGACACAUAUACUUCCUCCUUUAACUCUCCAUUUAGGAAGGCAGAUUUGACAUCGAGAUGAAAAACCGGCCACCCGUGUUUACCUGCUAUGGCGAGUAUGAUUCGGAUUGUUUCAAUUCUUGCGACGGGAGCAAAUACUUCAUCGAAAUCCAACCCUUGCUUUUGAACAUACCCUUUUGCGACUAGUCUCGCCUUAUGCUUCAAGACUUCUCCUUGCGGAUCUCUUUUUAACUUAUACACCCAUUUCAAGCCAAUAGGCUUUCGACCUACCGGUAAAUCAACGAGCUUCCAUGUGUGAUUUCUCUCAAUUGCUUCAAGUUCCGACUUCAUCGCCUUGACCCAUUCUCUUUUUGUAGAAGCCAUGGAAUAAUUAACGGGUUCAUCCAUGUCUUGCAUAAAUAAAAGCUCGUCACAUUCUUCAUAUAAUUCAGCCAAGGUUCUGUAUCGCUUUGGUGCACCGCCUCCUGUUGAUGAUGAGGCUGGACUAGUGGACCCUACUGAGCUUGUUGGUGUUGUUGGGAUGGGUGUUUAUUGAUGAUCACUUGACUAGGUAUCUUGUUCUAAUGGGGAUUCGUGAACCACUUCUUCACUUACGUAGUCAUCACCUGGUGCAUGGUUUAAAGGAGUGAGUGGGUCAACACCUUGUACCUCAUGUUCUUGAUCUUGUACCAUGGUUCCAAAUGUGAGAAUUACUCCAGGAGUUGCUCGAAUUUUCUUAGCUGAUUCCCAUGGCCAAACCUUGUUUUCUUCGAAAUACACAUCUCUACUCACUCGUAUCCUUCCCGUGUUUGGGUCCAACAACCUGUAGGCUUUACUUCCUGCUUCCAUUCCCAAGUGUACCAAUACCUCACUACGAUUAUCAAGCUUUUGCAAGUUCCCUCGCAUCAGCUUUGCAUGAGCUAAACACCCAAACACUCUAACAUGCUCUAGAUUUGGUUUCCGCCCGGACCACACCUCAUAAGGUGUUUUGUCUCCCAAUGCUUUCGUUGUCACACGGUUAAGGAUAUAAGUUGCAUGUCGUGCUGCUUCUCCCCACAAAACCUUCGGAAUCUCCAUGCUACUUAACAUGCUUCGUAUCAUCUCCACAACCGUGCGGUUACGCCUUUCGACAACGCCGUUUUGCUGUGGCGAAUAUGGUGCUGUAAAAUGGUGUCUUAAGCCUGAUUCGUCACAAUACGCUUCAAAUUGUUUUGAGAAAAACUCGCCUCCUCGGUCUGUUCGUAACACUUUCAUCUUUUCACCCCUUUCAUUCUCAACAAGCAAACGGAUUUUUCGAAAUACCCCUAAUGCUUCAUCCUUAUCUUUUAACAAAUAUAACCACAUCACACGACUGAAAUCAUCUACAAGUAACAGGAAAUACCUGUUUCCAGAUGGUGUAGAAGGUGUGAUCGGACCACAAAGAUCUGCAUGUAUCAGUUCUAAUCUAGCCUUGGCUCUAUAAAAUGUGUGUGUAGGAAAUGGAUUUCGAGAGUGUUUACCAUCUAUACAACCUUUACACAGCUGUACAGGCUGCUCCACGUUGGGCAAUCCCAAUACAAUCUUUUUCUCUGCCAUCCUUUUAAGUGAUUGAAAAUUCACGUGCCCUAAGCGGGCAUGCCACAACCAUGAUGUUUCUUCACUACUCCCUAGCAAACACUUUGGUUUUGCCUCAUUUAGAAUGAUCUUGUAGAGACGGUUAGGGGAUCUUUUUACUUUCAUUAAGAGUCUUCCAGUUUUGUCACGAACCCAUAAAAACGAACCUUUCAUGAGAAUCUCAUCACCAAUCUCCGCUAAUUGCCCCAAGCUUAUUAUAUUGCUACAUAGACUUGGGAUAAAAUACACCUCCUGUAGCACUCGUCUUUCAUCUGUCUUACAUUGAAAGACAAUGGAUCCUUUGCCUUCUAUCCGCACCUUAGACCCAUCUCCAAACCUUACGUAACCCCGAAUACCUUCAUCAAGUUCCUGAAACUUAUCUUUGUCGCCUGUCAUGUGGUUCGAUGCCCCGUUAUCCAGGUACCAUACUUUCGUCUAGUUCUCUAUAUCUUUUGAACUCUUUAACUUUGGUACUACAUGUUGUUCGUUCAGAUACACUUCCUCUUGGGCUUCAACUGGUUGAAACUUAGCUAACAAAAGUGCUGGUUCAUCUUCAUCUUGGCCUUGGUCAGAUGCACCUCCUGAUUCCUUUCCUUCCGUGGGUUCUUGCACUCUGAGGCGUAAUGGCCAAAAUCUUGGCAGUUGUAACAUUGUACCCUGGUUUUGUCUCUGCUACUCCCAGUAUCAUGUCUAUUAUUGCGGUGCUGAUGAGGGCCGCCACCCCUCCGUCCGCCACCGUUGUUCCAGCCGCCUCUUCCACGGCCACGACCCCGUCCACGUGUGUUUGAGUAUCCUCCCCUACCAUUCUUUUGUGACAUCCGUUGAGCCUCAUCAUUUUUCUUUUUACUCUUCUCAAGCCACUCUUGUUGGGUCAACAACACUUUUCCUUCACUGUUUUCCCCUCGACCAUGUACCCUCUCUUCAUGGGCUUUUAACCGUCCCACCACUUCUUCAACAGACAUAGUCUCGAGAUCAGCAAACUGCUCUAUUGUAGAGGCAAUAUGCAGGAAUUUUUCUGGAACGGCUCUAAGCAAUUUCUUCACAACAUACGACUCUUCUAGUUUAUCUCCCAAUGCCCUAAUAUUACUCACGAUGUUGUUUACUUUCCCAGCAAACUCAUCAAUGGUGUCCACUUCUUUCAUGCUUAAGACUUCGAACUCAGCCUUAAGAGUUUGAACUCUUGCUGUCUUUACUCUGUCCGCUCCAAGGAACAUAGUCUUCAGCGCUUCCCACGCCUCCUCAGCUGUUUGUUUCUCAGCCAAUGACAACAAUAAGUCUUCCGGUAUCCCUUGAUAGAUGGCCGCCAUCGCCAUUUUAUCCUUCUUUUGUUCGACUACUGUGUUCGUGGUUUUGGGCUCAACUGCAUCCCACACGCCUUGGGCUUGCAUGAAGACUUUCAUCUUUAUCGCCCAAGCAGCAUAAUUGUUUCUGGACAACAUCGGGUAAUGAAGCAUAACCUGGCUUUCCUUUUCGUUUCUAUCUCCCAUAGUUGCUGGUCUUGGUUGGUACUUAGGCAUAUACCGUGAGCUCUGAUACCAAAUUGUGGGGCAGAGAAAGAGAGAGAUAAUUUUGGGGCAAACUUUUUUGAGUUUUAUUUAUGCUUAUCAAAAACGGGUAAACAACCUGCUACUUAUCUAAACUUCAUGCUAGAAAUAAGGAAACAACUACCCACGUGACUACUAAGCUACAAAGAGGGAAAAUGGCCUACAUGGCCUUUGAUUACUUCAACCUGACUUACGUAAAAGUAAAUAAAAAU
rnacentral:lncRNA from 1 species